CCUACGGGUGGCAGCAGUGGGGAAUAUUGCACAAUGGGGGAAACCCUGAUGCAGCAACGCCGCGUGAGUGAUGACGGCCUUCGGGUUGUAAAGCUCUGUCUUCAGGGACGAUAAUGACGGUACCUGUAGAAAAAGCAUCAGCUACCUCCGUGACAGCAGCCGCGGUAAUACGGAGGAUGCGCGCGGUAUCCGGAUGUAUUGGGGUUAAAGGGUGCGUAGGCGGAAUUCCAAGGCAGCGGUAAAAUCGCGAGGCUCAACCUCGCUGCGCCGUUGAAACUGGUGUUCUUGAGUGGGCGAGAAGUAUGCGGAAUGCGUGGUGUAGCGGUGAAAUGCAUAGAUAUCACGCAGAACUCCGAUUGCGAAGGCAGCAUACCGGCGCCCAACUGACGCUGAAGCACGAAAGCGUGGGUAUCGAACAGGAUUAGAUACCCGAGUAGUC
rnacentral:rRNA from 1 species